ACGCUGGCACCGUGGGGGACAGGCGCCCGGGGGGGCGGCGGUCCCCACCCAUGUCCCCAUCUCCACACCCUCUCAAGGGAUGUGGGGACAAGUGACAUGGACCCACGUCCUCCCGUGUCUCCCUGUCCCAUGUCCCCCCCCAUGUUCCCAUGUCCCAUGUCCUCACGUGUCUCCCUGUCCCAUGUCCCCUCCCGGGUCCCCACCAUCUCCACACCCUCUCAAGGGACAUGGGGACAAGUGACACGGACCCACGUCCUCCCAUGUCUCCUUGUGUCAUGUCCCAUGUCCUCCCGUGUCUCCCUGUCCCAUGUCCCCCCCGUGUCCCCACUCCCAUGUCCCAUGUCCUCACGUGUCUCCCUGUGCCAUGUCCCCUCUGUGUCCCCAGUCCCAUGUCCUCACAUGCCUCCCUGUGCCAUGUCCCCCCGUGUCCCCAGUCCCAUGUCCCAUGUCCUCACAUGUCACCCCAUGUCCAGCAACAUGUCCUGCACAUCCUCCAUGUGUCCCUGUCCCCACCUCCCAUGUCCCCUGUGUGUCCUCCUGCUUCCCUCUGCCCCCCACGUCCCAUGUCCCCUCCUCAAGGAGCCCACAUCUUGUGUCCCCUCGUGUCCCCACGUCCCCUGUGGUCCAUUUCCCUGUGUCCCUCGUGUCCCAGCUCUCCCAGCUCCAUGUGUCUCUAUGUCGCCCUGUGCCGUGGCCCUCAGCCCUGUGGCACCCGCACAUCCCCGUGUGUCCCCACAUCCCUCCCCAUGUCCCCAUGUCCCUCCCCAUGUCCCCAUGUCCCCCCCGUGUCCCCACAUGUCCCCCCAUGUUCCCAUGCCCACCUGGGUGAUGGUCAGCAUGGUGCGGUUGACCUGCUGGCCCUCACCACGCAGGUGCAGAGCUGUGCAUCCCCCCCAUGUGUCCCCACGGCCCUCCCUAUGUCCCCAUGUCCCUCCCCAUGUCACCCCACGUGUCCCCACGUGUCCCCGUGCCCACCUGGGUGAUGGUCAGCGUGGUGCGGUUGACCUGCUGGGCCUGCAUGGCGGCCUGCGCCCGGGCCUUCACCACGUGAGUGCAGAGCAGGGUGUCCCCCCCACGCGUCCCCACGUCACCC
rnacentral:lncRNA from 1 species